rnacentral:rRNA from 1 species
GUGGGGAAUAUUGGACAAUGGGCGAAAGCCUGAUCCAGCCAUGCCGCGUGUGUGAAGAAGGUCUUCGGAUUGUAAAGCACUUUAAGUUGGGAGGAAGGGCAGUAAGUUAAUACCUUGCUGUUUUGACGUUACCGACAGAAUAAGCACCGGCUAACUUCGUGCCAGCAGCCGCGGUAAUACGAAGGGUGCAAGCGUUAAUCGGAAUUACUGGGCGUAAAGCGCGCGUAGGUGGUUUUGUAAGUUGGAGGUGAAAUCCCCGGGCACAACCUGGGAACUGCCUCCAAAACUGCAUGACUAGAGUACGGUAGAGGGUAGUGGAAUUUCCUGUGUAGCGGUGAAAUGCGUAGAUAUAGGAAGGAACACCAGUGGCGAAGGCGACUACCUGGACUGCUACUGACACUGAGGUGCGAAAGCGUGGGGAGCAAACAGGAUUAGAAACCCCGGUAGUCC